rnacentral:lncRNA from 1 species
UCUUCCUGGAUUGAUGCAUUGUACCCAUCAAAAAUAGAUCCUCCUAUUAGUGAGGGUUUGAGUUCUGCGAACCCCGGGUGGUUACUCAGACGGCACCACCACAAGUUUACAUCAGCCGUUACAACUUCAUUAGGGCAAUUUCACAAACACCUUGUGAGCAAGGGUUCUAUUCUAACACACCUAGCCUCACGGAACCAUCAAUUCUUCCUCCAAAUUAACCAUUCAAACUUCACCGUUUCACCCUACCACAAUUAGUUUGUACACACCAAAUCACACACUUCUCUACAACAUUGUGCACAGAACCACUAAAAAGUAGACAAGAAAACCAAAAGAAGGAAAAAUCUACUAGAAAUACUGCAACAAUUAACGCAAUAAACUUACAAAAUACUACAACAAAAAUACAAGAGAAGAGAGAGAAGCUUGACAUACCUGGUUCGACUAGAGGGUUAGAGGAGAUGGAGAUUGGGGGAGAGAGUGGGAGAUGGGUAGGAGUGUGAGAGAGGUGAAGAAGAAGAAGAAGAAGAAAGGAGAGAAGCGUUAGGGUUCUUAGAAAGAGAGAGGAGAUGGGUGAAAGUAAGGGGGG